rnacentral:misc_RNA from 1 species
GCGAAGCGCUGGUGGCGGUGGC